rnacentral:rRNA from 1 species
GCGCAGCAGGCGAGAAAACUUUACAAUGUGCGAAAGCACGAUAAGGGAACUCUGAGUGCCUCCUAAGGAGGCUGUUCAGGUGUCUAAAAAGCACCUGGAGUAAGGGCUGGGUAAGACCGGUGCCAGCCGCCGCGGUAACACCGGCAGCCCAGGUGGUAGCCACUUUUAUUGGGUCUAAAGCGUCCGUAGCCGGUUGAGUAAGUUCCUUGGGAAAUUUGGCUGCUCAACAGUCAAGCUUCCAGGGAAUACUGCUCGACUUGGGACUGGGAGAGGUCAGAGGUACUCCAGGGGUAGGGGUGAAAUCCAUUAAUCCCUGGGGGACCACCGGUAGCGAAGGCGUCUGACCAGACCAGGUCCGACGGUGAGGGACGAAGGCUAGGGUCGCGAACCGGAUUAGAUACCCG